GAUGAACGCUGGCGGCGUGCCUAAUACAUGCAAGUCGAGCGAAUGGAUUAAGAGCUUGCUCUUAUGAAGUUAGCGGCGGACGGGUGAGUAACACGUGGGUAACCUGCCCAUAAGACUGGGAUAACUCCGGGAAACCGGGGCUAAUACCGGAUAACAUUUUGAACCGCAUGGUUCGAAAUUGAAAGGCGGCUUCGGCUGUCACUUAUGGAUGGACCCGCGUCGCAUUAGCUAGUUGGUGAGGUAACGGCUCACCAAAGCAACGAUGCGUAGCCGCACUGAGAGGGUGAGCGGCCACACUGGGACGGAGACACGGCCCAGACUCCUACGGGAGGCAGCAGUAGGGAAUCUUCCGCAAUGGACGAGAGUCUGACGGAGCAACGCCGCGUGAGUGAUGAAGGCUUUCGGGUCGUAAAACUCUGUUGUUAGGGAAGAACAAGUGCUAGAUGAAUAAGCUGGCACCUUGACGGUACCUAACCAGAAAGCCACGGCUAACUACGUGCCAGCCGCCGCCGUAA
rnacentral:rRNA from 1 species